rnacentral:rRNA from 1 species
GAUGAACGCUGGCGGCGUGCUUAACACAUGCAAGUCGAACGAUGAAGCCCAGCUUGCUUGGUGGAUUAGUGGCGAACGGGUGAGUAACACGUGAGUAACCUGCCCUUAACUCUGGGAUAAGCCUGGGAAACUGGGUCUAAUACCGGAUAGGAGCGUCCACCGCAUGGUGGGUGUUGGAAAGAUUUAUCGGUUUUGGAUGGACUCGCGGCCUAUCAGCUUGUUGGUGAGGUAAUGGCUCACCAAGGCGACGACGGGUAGCCGGCCUGAGAGGGUGACCGGCCACACUGGGACUGAGACAAGGCCCAGACUCCUACGGGAGGCAGCAGUGGGGAAUAUUGCACAAUGGGCGCAAGCCUGAUGCAGCGACGCCGCGUGAGGGAUGACGGCCUUCGGGUUGUAAACCUCUUUCAGUAGGGAAGAAGCGAAAGUGACGGUACCUGCAGAAGAAGCACCGGCUAACUCCGUG